GAUGAACGCUGGCGGCGUGCCUAACACAUGCAAGUCGAGCGAACAGACGAUGAGCUUGCUCCUUUGACGUUAGCGGCGGACGGGUGAGUAACGCGUGGAUCAUCUACUUAUAAUACUGGGAUAAUUUCGGGAAACCGGCUCUAAUACCGGAGAAUAUAUUGAACCGCAGGGUUCAAUAGUGAAAGACGGCUUUUCUGUCAGUAAUAGAUGCAUCUGCGCUGGAUUGGCUAGUUGGUAAGGUAACAGCCUACCAAGGCUACGAUGCGUAGCCGAACUGAGAGGGUGAUCGGCCACACUGGAACUGAGACACGGUCCAGACUCCUGCGGGAGGCAGCAGUCGGGAAUCUUCGGCAAUGGGCGGAAGCCUGACGCAGCGGCGCCGCGUGAGUGAUGAAGGUCUUGCGUGCGUAAAGCCCUGUUAUGAGGGAAGAACAGCUGUCGAAUUAGACAUGGCCGUCUUGACGGUACCGAAUCAAAAAGCACCGGCUAACUACGUG
rnacentral:rRNA from 1 species